GACGAACGCUGGCGGCGUGCUUAACACAUGCAAGUCGAACGGAAAGGCCCUGCUUUUGUGGGGUGCUCGAGUCGCGAACGGGUGAGUAACACGUGAGUAACCUGCCCUUGACUUUGGGAUAACUUCAGGAAACUAGGGCUAAUACCGGAUAGGAUCUCCUGCUGCAUGGUGGGGGUUGGAAAUUUUCGGCGGUUGGGGAUGGACUCGCGGCUUAUCAGCUUGUUGGUGGGGUAGUGGCUUACCAAGGCUUUGACGGGUAGCCGGCCUGAGAGGGUGACCGGCCACAUUGGGACUGAGAUACGGCCCAGACUCCUACGGGAGGCAGCAGUGGGGAAUAUUGCACAAUGGGCGGAAGCCUGAUGCAGCAACGCCGCGUGCGGGAUGACGGCCUUCGGGUUGUGAACCGCUUUCGCCUGUGACGAAGCGUGAGUGACGGUAAUGGGUAAAGAAGCACCGGCUAACUACGUG
rnacentral:rRNA from 1 species